rnacentral:lncRNA from 1 species
AUUUCACUGACUAGAAUUACCAGUACUAUGUCAAAUAAGAGUGACUAGUUUGGACAUAUUUUUUCACAAUCCUGGUAGAAUAAAAGCAUUCAUUUUUUCAUGGUUAAGUAUAUGACUGAUGAAUGCCAGAUGCCUCUAGUGAGCCACCUUGAAUCACUAUUCUGAAUACAUCUUGAGUAAAAAGAGAAAAUUGCUCAUGUUUCCAUGUCUGUCUGAAUCAUGUUAUUGGACCAUGAGAGCAAGCAGCUGGAUCUCAUUCUGUCCAGGCUAUUGCUAAAGCAGGCUGGCUGCCUUCAUCUUCCCCAGUAUUCUAGGAUAACCUCAAAGCAAUCACAACAGCUUGUUUUCUACAAUUAAAACAUUUGGGUUUUGAUAGUGUGCAUGGUCUACAAAGAAGUGAGAAGUGUAGCUGUUUGUAUGGAAUCUUAUGGUGAACAUUGCUGGCUCCAACAUAUAACUUGAUUGGUGCAACAUCAAGGUAAAUGAAUCCUCAAAGAGCUAGCAAAUGGAUCAAAUAAAAGUA